UUUCGCUGUCAUCAUCUUCAUGUUCCUCCUCAUCUUCUUCAUCUUCAUCUUCGUCUACAGGCUGUACAUGCCAAAAUAAAAACAAAUAUAAGACUAAAAACAAAAGAAGAAUAUGAUAAAUUGAUUAUAAAAAAGAGAAACCUCUGACGACGUCUUUCCAAUAGGCAACAUAUCACUGUUCUUCGUAGCUACUGAGUUCAGCUGCAUGAUCUGAAGACAAUUUAAUGACUAUCACGAAAUACAAAGGGGAAAGCAUCCAUACCCACAUUUGGUGUUCUUGUUCCAACUGGGUCAAUUCGUUUUCCCCAUCAACUAUUAACAAGGAAACAGUAAAACGCGAAUGGUUCCCAGCUUUUUCAUGCUGUUUCCAACAAAUUCCCAAAGGAUUGCAGCCUAGGCGUUUUCAUCACUAUCGCGCUGAUAGGGUUACGUUGUUAUCGCUGAUGUGAACUCGACUUCAAGCGACCAAGGAUCACUCUUAUCUCAUAUAUCUCGUAUUUCAUUGUCUCUUCGACUAUAACACAGAGGUUUGAGCAGUCUAACGAGGAAAGAAUCGAAGUUCGUAUUUAUUCCAUUGCUUGCAUUUUAUAACGGCCCCUCGCUUAAGUAGAGAAGGUCAACUAGAAUGAUCAGAUGAAAUGAGCCGACGUUCUGAUUGAAAGGUUGCUACUUCCCAGCACUUUCAAUCUAUACGGCAUCCAGUCCAGCAAAUUUGCAUAGAACUGCUUUGACACUUCGAAAAAUACCUUGGAAUGGCACCUCUUCAGGUAACAGAAUAAGACGAUGGUUCGUUUAAAAUUCAAGGGACAUUCAACACCACCGAGUACGAGAAGUCAAGCCAAGGUGGGGGGGAUUUCAUUUCAAACACAUUUCGGGAAUACUUUCCAUUCAUCUUUCUCUGGCGUCCGAACAGCCAGGACCAUACCGUGCUGAAUGCGAAAACCCCCCACCUGGUUUUGAAUUUGUGAUCCAACUCUCCCUGUCACCGCGUUGCGUUUGCUGCAAGGAUAGUUACGGCAAGCGAACUGCUGUUUGGGCCAACGUCAACGCAGGACAGACGUUCGUUUUGAAGCCAUGCUCUCCGAGUCGAUGGAUGGAAGUCCGUUAAAAUGCCCGCUACUAUCUCCACGUUUGGAAUUGGAACAAAUGGAAAUUCCUUGCACCGUUUGGAUCCACUUUUCAAGAACUGCUGGCGAGAUUAACGCACAGAUCCAAUUCACUCAUUUCUUCGUCAAUCAGUUGAACUGCGAUGUUACAUUCCAUUUCGACACACCCGAACAAGACGAGCAAAUCGGCGCCUAUUUUGCUAGCUAUUUUGUCAGCCAGGAGUCCCGCCAUCGAUGCCUUGUUCCAGGACAGAAUACAAUAUGCGAUCACGAGAGAAGUUUGCAUCAAAGAUAUCGAACCAAACAUUUUUAAACAAAGUAACAACAAUUAUAACACAUGUUUAGUGUUAUACCAAAUGCACAGACACGUCAUGGGAUCUGGAUUUUCUUACGUUUGACGAGGCCCGUCAGUUGCACGGGGCCAGCGGGUGGUGUGCGGGACCGUUCGGACUAUAUGUCGUUAAAGGUUUCUGUUAUCCUUCAGGCUAAAUGUGCAUGUCCCAUCUAAAGAACUCUGUUUUUAUUUUCUUGAACGCGGAUAACGGGAAAUGGUUUGUGAAUGGUGAAGUAACAAGGCAGCGUUAGAUGGCGCAACGUGUCAAAGACUCACGCUCAGCUCCCGUUGGUUACCUAACGGUACAUUCGGUGUAAUUGCUCAAAGGGUAAGCUGACCAACAGAUGGACAGUUUAAAUAAACCAACGGGUAUACCGUUUUAACAAACAAA